UACGGAGGGUGCAAGCGUUGUCCGGAUUUACUGGGCGUAAAGCGUCCGUAGGCGGCCUACCGCGUUUCCUGUUAAAGUCCAAGGCUUAACCUUGGAAGUGCAGGAAAUACGGGUAGGCUAGAGAACUUUCGGGGGUGCCGGAACUCGCGGUGGAGGGGUGAAAUCCGUUGAUAUCGCGAGGAACACCGACGGCGAAGGCGGGCACCUAGGAAGAUUCUGACGCUCAGGGACGAAAGCUAGGGGAGCGAAAGGG
rnacentral:misc_RNA from 1 species